GGGGAACUUCUCCCCCGAGGACCAGGGACAGCCCGAAGAGGCAGCAGGGGAGUGUCAGUCAGAAGAGUCAAGUAAUCAUGCAGAGUCCUCCCCUGUUGCUUCUCCUGGCUCCCCAGUCCCUGGUCCCUCCACUCCUGCUGCUGCACCCGCAGGCCCACAGAGGAGGACAGCUCGAAGGCGGGCGAGAGACGGGUCCCAGGACGGUCCAUCGGCGGUGGAGCUGGCCAUCCUGAGUCCCUAAAGAGGCCACGCCCGUCUCCAACAGAGCAUUUUCUCCUCAGCCUUGUUCCUGCUCUGGAGAGCAUGCCGCCUCAGACACGAGAAUUCGUGAAAUUUCAAAUUUAUAAAUUAGCUUUUGAAAACAGCAUAGGUGUGUUAAAUUUGGAAACAUUGGACUCUAAUGAUCAGUAGUUUUCUGAUGAGGCAGCAGCUCUCCAGGGCAGAAACAAUGUUCUCAUUUUUCUCCUCCUUCUCCCUGAGGCU